rnacentral:tRNA from 1 species
GGAAGGGUCGCAUAGUGGCCUAGUGCGCUGGUUUGCUAAACCGGUGAACGGCCUAAAGCCGUUCCGAGGGUUCGAAUCCCUCCCCUUCCGCCA